rnacentral:lncRNA from 1 species
GACAGAGGGACGCGGGGAGGGGCACCGUCACCUAUGGGGGCAUCUCAGUGUCAUUGACCCCAAUGGGGGCGUCUCUGUGUCACCGUCAUUGUCCCCAAUGGGCCGUGGGGACAUCUCUGUGUCAUCAUUGUCCCCUAUGGCGGCCAUGGGGACACCUCAAUGUCAUUGUCACCUAUGGGGACAUCUCUGUGUCAUCACUGUCCCCAUGUCACCAUCAUUGACCCCAAUGGGGUCAUCCCAAUGUCAUUGUCACCUAUGGGGACAUCUCUGUGUCAUCAUUGUCACCUACAGGGACACCUCUGUGUCAUCACUGUCCCCAUGUCACCAUCACUGUCCCCAAUGGGGACAUCUCUGUGUCAUCA